CGUGGUGAUGGUGAGUGGGGAGCAGGAUGGGGCAGAGUUCCUGGAGAGGGGGCUCUGGGGUUUCGCUCGACCCCCUCCCUUCCUCCACCCCCCAGGCCGGGAGGAUGAUGAAGCUGGAGCGUGGGGCCGAAUUGCCGCUCCCGUCAUCCCACUCAGAGCCCUGCAGAGAGGACCACGGGUCCAGACCCCUGAGAUCUGCCCAGCAGCCGUGGGAAUGAGCCAUUCUGGAAGCAGAUCCGCUUGCCGGGUCAAGCCUUAAGUGAACUGCAGCUCUAGACUUCAUCUCGAUUGUCACUUCAUGAGAGCCUCUGAGCCAGAACUACCCAAAUUCCUGACCCACAGUGAGGUAAUAAGUGCUCAUUCCUUUAUUUAUUAGAAUACUUUUUUCCACAGCAGCAGAUAACUAAACUAAUACACUCCUUCACCGAGAUGCUGGCAGAUUUAAUGAGGCCAAACUGAGUCAUGCACCGGUCCUUGGGAAGUAGGCGUCAUUGCAGCCUGAAGCAGCAUCGUCCAAUGGGAAUAUAAUGCAAGUUAUAUGUGUAUUUAAGAAUGUUUUAGUACUUAAUUAAAAAGUAAAAAGCAACUGGUGAAUUUAACUUUAAUAAUAUAUUUUAUUUAUCAAAAAUAUUACUAUUCCAACAUGUAAUCAAUAUAAACAAUUAUUAAUGAGAUAUUUUACAUGCCUUUUUUUGCACUAAGCCUUCCAAACUCAGUGUGUGUUUUACCCUCACAGCACAUCUCAAAGCGGACCACCUGCAUUGCAAGUGUUCAAUAGCCACACGUGGCUAGUGGCCAUUGUAGUGGGCAGCUCUGGCUCUGACAUGUAUAGUGAAAAAGGGUCAGAGAGGUUUGGAGACUGGUUCAAGGGCACACAGCAGGGCCCAGCUCUGCCUUCAUCUCCUUAGUCCCUGGUUUUCCCUGGGGUGGGGCCCAAAGCACAGCACGCACUAAGCCAAUGGCUCUCAGUUUCUAGGACAUCAGGAGAAUCACCUAGAAACAUGUUAAAGCAAGGCUCCCAGUCCCACCCCAGACCUACAACAUCAGUGACCCAGGAAUCUGCAUUGACAAGUGUU